rnacentral:rRNA from 1 species
AGCGAACGCUGGCGGCAGGCCUAACGCAUGCAAGUCGAACGAACUCUUCGGAGUUAGUGGCGGACGGGUGAGUAACACGUGGGAACGUGCCUUUUGGUUCGGAAUAACUCAGGGAAACUUGUGCUAAUACCGAAUGUGCCCUUCGGGGGAAAGAUUUAUCGCCAUUAGAGCGGCCCGCGUCUGAUUAGCUAGUUGGUGAGGUAACGGCUCACCAAGGCGACGAUCAGUAGCUGGUCUGAGAGGAUGACCAGCCACACUGGGGCUGAGACACGGCCCAGACUCCUACGGGAGGCAGCAGUGGGGAAUCUUGCGCAAUGGGCGAAAGCCUGACGCAGCCAUGCCGCGUGAAUGAUGAAGGUCUUAGGAUUGUAAAAUUCUUUCACCGGGGACGAUAAUGACGGUACCCGGAGAAGAAGCCCCGGCUAACUUCGUG